rnacentral:rRNA from 1 species
GAGAUUCCCCCAGUAGCGGCGAGCGAACGGGGAGCAGCCCAGAGUCUGAAUCAGCUUGUGUGUUAGUGGAACGGUCUGGAAAGUCCGACGGUACAGGGUGAUAGUCCCGUACACCAAAAUACACAGGUUGUGAACUCGAAGAGUAGGGCGGGACACGUGGUAUCCUGUCUGAAUAUGGGGGGACCAUCCUCCAAGGCUAAAUACUCCUGACUGACCGAUAGUGAACCAGUACCGUGAGGGAAAGGCGAAAAGAAC